UGCAGUGCAAGUGCAGGUAAGGUUGUUCUCAAGAGCUCCUACAGUGACUUAUUAAGAAAAAUCAGUUCCCCAGUAGAAAGGGGCCUUUGUGCAGUACUAUCUCUCUGGCUGUGACGCAGCUUAGACAGGCAGCGUGAGAGCAGAGCACAACCCCUCCUACCCACACACACUUGGCACAAUCUAUUUCAUUAUCUGAAUAGAGCUGGCCCUUGUCCUCAGUGAGAAGGGCAAUGUUGCAUGCCCGGCAUUUUGUGUUGGACGCUAGGAGAGGGAAGUAAAGACAGAUGUCAACUGACUGACUGACUCCCGGGCUGGAGUGAUCAGUUUCAUAUGACCUGGGGCUUGAUUGGUUUAUGUCAUUAAGGCAAUCACAUGUCCCUACGGUGGAUGGAUGGUCAGCCACGCAGGAGGGUGAUUUUUACUAAGGAGGAGAAGGAGGCCGUGUUGUCCAAGAUGCAUGCUGGCCAUUUCGGAGAGAAGCACAUGACAAGCAAAAUCAACCUGCGCUUCUUCUGACGGGGAAUUGAAAUAACCUUUUAUAAAUUCCAUUCUAUUAUAUCUGAAAUCAUUAUUAUUUCAAUGAAUGUCAUAUCAGAGAGAACACUGUUUCAAUUUGUCACUUUCUAGCCUGCCAGAAGUUUGAGAGGGCGAAGACUGUGGCGCCGGAGUUGAAGCCCAUCAAAAUUGUUUCACCAUGGGGUGGACCUCAUCAGACACUUCACGGAAUCCAGGAAUGACAACAGCUGGUGUCUGACGGCGACCAAUCACUUUACCAAGUGGAUGGAGGCAGUACUCAUUAAGGAGGAGACUGGUGAGGCCACCCCAAGGUGAUGGAGAUCUUCAACACCCACGGUUCUCCUGAGGCCAUCUUGAGUGAACGAGGUGAUGAAUGCUGGAACAAGCAGCGUCCAGGCCUCUACCGAGUAUGGACGGGAGCCGCAGCUGUUGACUGAGAUCACUGAAACCCCACCUGAUAUGAUGGAAGUUGUCGAACCAGAUCAGAACGCCUUUGAGUACCACCUUCAAGCACAGACUGAGAAGGAUGGGGGCUUUUGACUGGGUGAGCCUGAACAUCAACAAGGCGCAGGAGGAGAGCUACCGGAGCAGAAUCAAGAAGGUGACCAGGUGCUAUGACAUCCGGGCAAAUGACUUGGUUUGGAAGAAGGACAAAAGGUGAGACCUGGGAAACCUCGCUGUUCUUUCGCUCCCAGCUGGGGUCACCAUCUGUUGAGGGUUACCUCGGUGGAAGCCAGCAAUCUUCUCCAGUUGGACGGUCAACCACUGAUGCCCUACACGUCGAUGGAGCCCAAUAGAUAAAGACCAUCGACUGUCCGAGCCCCCCAGGAGGUGUCCCAUCCACCAGAGCCAGUGAGUUUGAAGAAGAUUGAUUCUGUGCGCUCUGAGUCAGAGGGGGACCAGCUUGAGAUCCUAGGGGUUCUGCAACACCCAGACGUGGAGCCACCUGAUGUCCUCCAUUACAUCAUCUGCAGCUACUGUUGUCAUGUCAUUAUCUGCUAAGAAUGUUCUUGCUAUCAUACUGGGCACAAAGAGAUACACAGAUUAACUAAAAACACUACCAACACUCAGAACAAAGAGAGGUUCUGCCUGGACUUUGCAGUCUCCCUCUUCAAGUCUACCUUCCGAGAAUGGUCUGUUGAGAAGAAGCAAUAGACAGAACCUCCCAACCACCCUCCAUAUUCCAUACACCUGAAUUCAUUGUUUGUCUGCCAUGUGUGUACAAUGUUUUUGAAAUUUAAACUACUUGUGAAAAUAA